CCUGCCGUUGAAACUGUAUGACUGGCGUGNNNNNGAGGNNNGCGGAAUGCGUUGUGUAGCGGUGAAAUNNNUAGAUAUGACGCAGAACUCCGAUUGCGAAGGCAGCUUACCAACACUUUACGGACGCUGAGGCACGAAAGCGUGGGUAUCGAACAGGAUUAGAUACCCUGGUAGUCCACGCAGUAAACGAUGAAUACUAAUUGUUCGGGGGGCAACCCCUGAGUGAUACAGCGAAAGCGUUAAGUAUUCCACCUGGGGAGUACGCCGGCAACGGUGAAACUCAAAGGAAUUGACGGGGGCCCGCACAAGCGGAGGAACAUGUGGUUUAAUUCGAUGAUACGCGAGGAACCUUACCCGGGCUCAAACGUUGGGGGAAUGCUCCUGAAAGGGAGCAGUCAGCAAUGGUCGCCAACGAGGUGCUGCAUGGUUGUCGUCAGCUCGUGCCGUGAGGUGUCGGCUUAAGUGCCAUAACGAGCGCAACCCCUGCGUCCAGUUACCAUCAAGUCAUGUUGGGGACUCUGGACGGACUGCCGGCGCAAGCCGUGAGGAAGGCGGGGAUGACGUCAAAUCAGCACGGCCCUUACGUCCGGGGCGACACACGUGUUACAAUGGCGUGGAACAGCGGGAAGCCACCUGGCGACAGGGAGCGGACCCCUAAAACACGUCUCAGUUCGGAUUGGAGUCUGCAACUCGACUCCAUGAAGCUGGAUUCGCUAGUAAUCGCGCAUCAGCCAUGGCGCGGNNNAUACGUUCCCGGGCCUUGUACACACCGCCCGUCAAGCCAUGGGAGCCGNNNNNNCCUGAAGUACGUAACCGGAAGGAGCGUCCAAGGGUAACACUGGUGACUGGGGAUAAGUCGUAACAAGGUAACCA
rnacentral:rRNA from 1 species